UGGGGAAUUUUGGACAAUGGGCGAAAGCCUGAUCCAGCAAUGCCGCGUGUGUGAAGAAGGCCUUCGGGUUGUAAAGCACUUUUGUCCGGAAAGAAAUCCUUGGCUCUAAUACAGUCGGGGGGAUGACGGUACCGGAAGAAUAAGCACCGGCUAACUACGUGCCAGCAGCCGCGGUAAUACGUAGGGUGCAAGCGUUAAUCGGAAUUACUGGGCGUAAAGCGUGCGCAGGCGGUUUGCUAAGACCGAUGUGAAAUCCCCGGGCUCAACCUGGGAACUGCAUUGGUGACUGGCAGGCUAGAGUAUGGCAGAGGGGGGUAGAAUUCCACGUGUAGCAGUGAAAUGCGUAGAGAUGUGGAGGAAUACCGAUGGCGAAGGCAGCCCCCUGGGCCAAUACUGACGCUCAUGCACGAAAGCGUGGGGAGCAAACAGGAUUAGAUACCCUGGUAGUCCACGCCCUAAACGAUGUCAACUAGUUGUGGGGAUUCAUUUCCUUAGUAACGUAGCUAACGCGUGAAGUUG
rnacentral:rRNA from 1 species